ACAGCGUCACAGAGCCUUGAAAGUGGCCCUACCACCUCUGAAAUUCACUGGCUCUCUUCCAUUGCACCGCAGUGAGCAGAGGCACAGAAGUAAGGAAGCCCAGAGGGUUUGGAGAAGAGAAAAAGGUCUGAUAGAAGCAGUUCCUACUCAAGAGCUUUGCCUUGAAACAUCACCUCCAGGGCCUGGAAUAAAUGGGCUGUGAGUGAUCCUGGAAUGUUCAGGAUAUUCAGCUUCCUCGGUGGCUCCAAGGUGGAUGUGACCAUUGAGGUUCCUUUAGAGAUGCCCCAGAUCAGGUCGAACCAAGUCCCGUUCACUCCACAGAACUGCAAGCUCAUCUUCACCAGGAUGCUCAUGUGAGCAGGAUGCCCUGUUCCCCUCCCUAGCCAGCUCUCUGCAGUCACAGAAGUCAUGCUCAGACAGAUCCUGCAGAGCUGUCUA